UGCCUCUGUCCUCCUCGCGGACCCCAGGCAGCCCCACGGAGCGAGGGAGCAGGCUCUGACCCCGCGAGCGCCCACGGGCCUCGGCAGAUGUAGCAAGAUGGAUAAGGCCCUGGCCCCCUGGAGGAGGACAGUACUCGCAUGAACAAAUGAGUACCCAGCAGUGUCUCAGAGGAACCACAGGAGCUACUGUGGGCUGCUGGUGCUCUGCAAACAGGCAACCUGCUCAGAGAGGGUCUCGAGGCCCCAGUGCCAGAGCAAAGUCCAUAAUCAACUAGACUGAGUGAUGUGUUUGGGAGGCUGAGACUGAUCCACGUGGUGAUUCCGGUUCCCUGGGCGCCCUGCCCUGUGAUAAAGCCUGGACGUCGGACAGCCCGGCCAAGAGCUAACGUACCUGUUUGAACUAGUCUUGUGCCAAUGGAAACACGUCAGAAAAAGGAAAACAGUUAGCCAACUGUCUAAUGCAGAUGGGUUCUCUUCAGCCCAAUGAAGAACGAUCACCUAUACACAGCUGCAGGAGCACGUUAAAUGGUAAUAGGCUGUUCAGCUGUGCCAAAGCUCCAGGGCUCCAGGAUGGAGUCAGCACCAUUUCAGGGAACUGGGAUUCCUGACGGGGGAUGCAGCAGGAGCUCCACAAUUAUUCUACCCCUGCUGAAUUGUCUGCCAUGUACAAAUGCAGGAUGCAGCCAUGCCCAGUGACCCGUCCAUGUCAGGUCCUCACUUGCUCUUCGCUCUCUGCAUGCUGCGAACCACCUCCAUUGUUAACAGCCGCUCCAGGGGGCAUCUAGUGCCCAGGGGAGAGGUGCCUGAAACACCAUCACCAGACCUAUAUCUUCACGUCCUUGCCUUGAAAGGAAGCCUCUCAAAAUCCAAGAACCAGAGAAUUAAAACUACGCUUAGGUCAACACAGUGCCGGUGUUCAGAUGAAAAUACUGCAAGAUCGUCAAACACAUAGAUGAAUUUUUCAAGCCACCCAAAACCUGGAUAAUGUUGAACAUUUGGAUAAUCAAAUAUAGCAACUCUAUCCAGUCUCUCUUUUGGAUGACUCACUGGACACUUUUAUAGACUGGGAAUUUUUUGACUACAAUAAUAACCAUCCUGCCAUUGAAGUUCAGCUGUUCACCGUGGCCUGGUGUCACAUAGCUACAGCUGAUGGUACUGUGUUAUGUACGAGAUAGUGAUAUGUAAAGACCAGUUUUUUACCAGACUGCUUUUCAUAAAAAGAUGUUUAAAAAGACUGGAACAUAGCACUCAAGUUUCCUCCUAAACAAUGAAUGCUCUGGCCUACAGGCCUUCUGAGAUCUGGAGACCCAUUCUUCAAAAGAGAAAGACUAUGCAUGAAAUUUAAUCCAUGCCCUCUCCUCUUAAUCAGGUUACAGAGAGAGAGGAAGGGGUGGAAGGACCUGCCAUUGAGCUGAGAGUGAAAUGCCACCGGGGUCUUUGGGACCCUAUCAAAGGCUGGGACCCUGAGACCUGUGAGGCCUGGCUGGUGCUUAAUAACGAGCUUCUGUAGUUUGCUGACCAGAAACCUCCUCACUCGUUAAAGUCGCUCCACACACUAGGUACUCUCUACCGCUUGCCUCUCUUUUAUUUGUGUUGUAAUUAUCACCAACUACUCUUUUUUUGUUGGUUUUACUUGUUUAUUGUCUGUGUUCCCAUCCAGAAUGUGAGCUCUGCGCAAGCCAAGGAUUUGCCCUCCUUGUUUAUGAUGGUAGCACAUGCUUAAAACGGCGCCUGGCCCGUGGUGGGUAUUCAGGAAAUAGUCCUUGAACACAUGAGUAGAUAUGUGUUUAUUCAGUUUGCUGGUUGUUAGGUAAUCUUUCUUUCCCUUAGUCUAGUAGAUGUGUUGACAUAACUGAACUGAUAAAGGGGUUACAAGAGGGUAACCAGAGUGUUGGCCCGAAUUCUUUGCCCUCCCUACAUUCAGCCCUUUGCCAUAUGGGUUUGUAGCUCCUCCCAUUAAAGGGGUGGAACAGAUCUACCCACCUGUUGGCCUUGUGUUUGACUAAGAGACUGGCUUUGGCCAAUGGAAUGAGGUGGAAGUGACAUGGCAUCAAUUCUGAACCUCAGGCUUGAGGGGCCUUGCAUGUUUCUGCUCACCUCUUAUCCUUCUGCCAUCACCCGGAGAAGAACACACCCAGGCCAGCCUACUCGUCCCAGAAAGACAACGCAAAACAGCGCGAGACACUCAGAACAGAGGCGCCCAGCUGAGCCCUGCUUAGAUGGCCAAACCCCAGCCAACUCAUGGCCACGUGAGCUAUAUAAAUGGGAUUGCUGUGUACCAUUGAUAUUACAUUCUUGUUUGCUAUGCAACAAAGCACGGCCAUGAAUGAUCUUCUUCUAUCUCAACUGUGUGGCAACCAGUCCCCUGGGUGGAUGAACCUGCACCUGUGACACUGAGUUGGCCCAAAUGACCAAAGCAGGCAUACCCAUGUCCAAGCCAGGACAUCUGCCCUUCAUCCCUCGGUGCACAGCAGGGGAGACAGAAGAGAAUCACUCCCACAGAGUGAGCCCCACUAAGUGCCAAGCACUGUCCUCUGUACUUCCCAGCCAUUAUCUCAUUUAGUCCUCACAGCUACAGGGUCCCCGCUUCACAGGUGAAGAUGCUAGCCUUGCUGAGGGGACACCACUUUGUCCUGGCCCCACACCAGGGAGAGAGGUCCUGAAAGAGUCUUUUGACUAUGGGCCUCAGAGAGCAUCCCGAAGAGAAGGAUCAAAUCUGUUUGGAAUCAGAGUAAAUGGGCAGAAAAGCAGUGCUAACCCACCAGUGGGGCCAAUCUCCCCCACUCUCCACACCCACUCCAGUCCCCAGAGUGGCCAGGUAGCUUUGGUCCCAUGCUCUCACAGGGACUAUGCCACUUGGAAGAAGAAUAUUUGUCCUGGAACCCUUUGCAUUCCUGUUUUUAUUUGCCUUAGAUAACCCCCUCCAACAGGGAGCAGCACAUUCCAUAAGGGACAUUGGAAUUGUGCCUUCAAGAUGACAGCAUUUUUAAAACAAAGGAAUAACCAAAAGUCCAAUUUGUUUCUGUUUUUAAUUUUAAUUUGUAGGUCCAUUUCUACAAAACCUGUAAAACUGAACUAAAUUGGGAGAAAUUAUUCAAUAUUGUGUAAUUGGUAAUUCGUAUCUGUCAAUUUUACAUAGAUAUUAAGGUAAUCUGAAUCAUUUUAUUCAAACAUUUGGUUAAUAAAUAUAUUAUUGAAUUUGGGUGUGUAUACACAUAUGUAUACAUGCAGAUUGUGAGUUUAGCCAUUGAAGAAUUAGCACGAGGUGAACAAGCCUGUUUUGUCACCAACGGCCUCCAGAUAGGACGGUCCAGCAAUCCUAACACGCUCCUCACGGCCCCUCCCAGUUACGCCAACUUCUUUCUCCCGAAUGCACCACCUUAUUUCUUAUGACACAAGACUUGUGUUUUUCUUCUUUUGAAUUUGAUAUGAAUCUAAUCACACGGUAUAUCUUCUUCAGUGUCUGGGUACUUUUACGUAGCGUUAUGUGUGUGAUAUCCAUUCCUGCUCUUCGGGAGUCUGAGCGUUGUGAUUACUAGGUAGUAAUCUGUUGUUAAAACAUACCACAGUUUAAUUGUUUCUUUGCCAGGCUCUCCAGACACGGUUUUGCUAUAUGGAAGUGAUUGUCCCUUUGAGAAAUGGAAUAAUUGUGACUUGCAUUGGAUGAUACAUUUUUCUGUAUCCUGGGCCCUCAUUCAUUCAUUCAUUCAUUCGACAGAUUUCUGUUGAGUGCCCACCAUAACCCAGGCAGCCCGGUCGGGCCUGAGGGUCCAGAGCUGUCCUCUUGAAUAGGUGCCCCUUUAGUUUGGAAGCGUUUCAGAAUAGACACCCUUUGUCAUCACUGCUUGAGAUGGCUUUCAGACAAGAGUCCAAAGCCUCAGCUUCUUCUGCCCCUCACGACUUGGCAUGCGUCCUGCCCUCCAAACCUCCUAUUGUCACGUGCAGGUCCCCUGCCCUGAAUGCCCCCUCCAUUUCCCUGCUUGGAAAGAGCUUACUUGUUUCAAAGAUACCAAUCCAAGGGCCUUAGUGAUGCUUAAUUUGAUGGGUCAAUUUGACUGGCUAAUGGAUGACCAGAUAGCUGGUAAAAUGUUAUUUUUGGGUGUGUCUGUGAGGGUGUUUCUAGAAGAGAUUAGUAUUUGAAUCAGCAGACUGACUAAAGCCGAUGGCCCUCAUCCAUGCCCAUGGGCGUCAUCCAAUCUGUUGAGGGCCUGAAUAGGACAAAAAGGCAGAGGAAGGGCAAAUUUGCUCUCUGUUUCAGCUGGGACAUGCAUCUUCUGCCCUUGGCCAUUGGCUCUUUGGUUCUCGAGCCUUCAGGCUUGGAUUGCAUUCCUCACACCACUGGCUUUCCCGGUUCUCCAGAUGGCAGCGCGUGGGACUUCUCAGCCUCCGGAAUUAUAUUGUGUGCUCCAAUAAUACAGGAAAUUUUAUUAGUUGCAUUCAAUGAUGUAUCAUGAAUACCUGAAAUAGAGUCUGAUACACAGUAGGUGCUUCAAAGAUAUUGUGAACUGAACGAAUGGCUGGGAGCAAAGAGAGAGUGAGAUCUUUCAGAACUCUGGUAACAAUAACGCCGUCUCCAAAUGUCGUGCCUUUUGCUGAAGGAGCGUCUUCCCGAUUUUAAUGGUCGCUGUUCUCCGUAUAAAAAAAGCCAGGAUCCCCCUGGAGUGCCAGGACCUCCCACCUGCGGCAGUCCUGGUUGGUCAGGAACACAAGCAGAUAUCAGACAACCGCCCAGGGUGCCUAUUCAAAGAGAAGGCGCUUUCACUCCUGGAUCAUUAUCCUCCUGCAGAAGUACAAAGAUCUUUAUGGAAGCACCGUCUCCUCUGGUGAUCACACCUCUGGAAAUGAUGUUAUAAGGCCAGGAAAUUGAUUUCCUGCAUUGCAAAAUCAUUCCUGGGGUCAUCAGUGUCAAAGCCAACUGGUUCAUGGA
ensembl:lncRNA